rnacentral:rRNA from 1 species
CGUGCUUAACACAUGCAAGUCGAACGGGAUCCAUCAGGCUUUGCUUGGUGGUGAGAGUGGCGAACGGGUGAGUAAUGCGUGACCGACCUGCCCCAUACACCGGAAUAGCUCCUGGAAACGGGUGGUAAUGCCGGAUGCUCCAGUUGGAUGCAUGUCCUUCUGGGAAAGAUUCAUCGGUAUGGGAUGGGGUCGCGUCCUAUUAGCUUGUUGGCGGGGUAACGGCCCACCAUGGCUUCGACGGGUAGCCGGCCUGAGAGGGCGACCGGCCACAUUGGGACUGAGAUACGGCCCAGACUCCUACGGGAGGCAGCAGUGGGGAAUAUUGCACAAUGGGCGCAAGCCUGAUGCAGCGACGCCGCGUGCGGGAUGACGGCCUUCGGGUUGUAAACCGCUUUUGACUGGGAGCAAGCCCUUCGGGGUGAGUGUACCUUUCGAAUAAGCACCGGCUAACUACGUGCCAGCAGCCGCGGUAAUACGUAGGGUGCAAGCGUUAUCCGGAAUUAUUGGGCGUAAAGGGCUCGUAGGCGGUUCGUCGCGUCCGGUGUGAAAGUCCAUCGCUUAACGGUGGAUCCGCGCCGGGUACGGGCGGGCUUGAGUGCGGUAGGGGAGACUGGAAUUCCCGGUGUAACGGUGGAAUGUGUAGAUAUCGGGAAGAACACCAAUGGCGAAGGCAGGUCUCUGGGCCGUUACUGACGCUGAGGAGCGAAAGCGUGGGGAGCGAACAGGAUUAGAUACCCUGGUAGUCCACGCCGUAAACGGUGGAUGCUGGAUGUGGGGCCCGUUCCACGGGUUCCGUGUCGGAGCUAACGCGUUAAGCAUCCCGCCUGGGGAGUACGGCCGCAAGGCUAAAACUCAAAGAAAUUGACGGGGGCCCGCACAAGCGGCGGAGCAUGCGGAUUAAUUCGAUGCAACGCGAAGAACCUUACCUGGGCUUGACAUGUUCCCGACAGCCGUAGAGAUACGGUCUCCCUUCGGGGCGGGUUCACAGGUGGUGCAUGGUUGUCGUCAGCUCGUGUCGUGAGAUGUUGGGUUAAGUCCCGCAACGAGCGCAACCCUCGCCCUGUGUUGCCAGCACGUCGUGGUGGGAACUCACGGGGGACCGCCGGGGUCAACUCGGAGGAAGGUGGGGAUGACGUCAGAUCAUCAUGCCCCUUACGUCCAGGGCUUCACGC